CCGCAUGAUGAGACCAAGGCGAAUACGACCCCGGAGCUCUCUGCCCUGUGCCCUCCGGCCCCCCGGGGGGGCGGGGGGGAUCUGAAAUCUUGGCGGGAGCCGCGCCAGCCGCCGGGCCCCGCCGUAAGGCCAGAUCGAAAGCAGGACCGGCCUCCUCCGCACCGCGGCUGCUCCCGAGCCUCGGCAGCCGCCCGCGGGAGGGCCCACAGGGGGCCGGGCCGGGCCGGGGGGGGGAUCCGGGCCGGAGUGAGCACACGCUUGGGUCUGACG